rnacentral:rRNA from 1 species
CUACGGGCGGCUGCAGUGGGGAAUAUUGGGCAAUGGGCGCAAGCCUGACCCAGCAACGCCGCGUGAAGGAAGAAGGCUCUCGGGUUGUAAACUUCUUUUAUUUAGGACGAAAAAAAUGACGGUACUAAAUGAAUAAGCCACGGCUAACUACGUGCCAGCAGCCGCGGUAAUGCGUAGGUGGCAAGCGUUAUCCGGAUUUACUGGGUGUAAAGGGCGUGUAGGCGGGACUGCAAGUCAGAUGUGAAAUUCCAGGGCUCAACCCUGGACCUGCAUUUGAAACUGUAGUUCUUGAGUGAUGGAGAGGGAGGCGGAAUUCCGUGUGUAGCGGUGAAAUGCGUAGAUAUACGGAGGAACACCAGUGGCGAAGGCGGCCUGCUGGACAUUAACUGACGCUGAGGCGCGAAAGCGUGGGGAGCAAACAGGAUCAGAUACCCCAGUAGUC